GUGCUCGCUUUGGCAGCACAUAUACUAAAAUUGGAACAAUACAGAGAAGACUAGCAUGGCCCCUUCGCAAGGAUGACACGCAAACUCAUGAAGCGUUCCACAUUUUU
ensembl:snRNA U6 U6 spliceosomal RNA